AGAAAUAACAAAACGUGUAAUAACUGAAAGCUGAGCAACAUUCUGGUGUUGGAUCUACAGAAACAGGGAAAUACUUGGCAGUUUUAAAAUCUGCAACAAUAUAAUUCUUGAUAUGUUUUGCCAUCAACAGAACAAUUUCUUCGUAGAUGGUAGGUGAUAAGUACGACUGCUUACCACUUCCAGUAUUGCCAAAGGUUUUCAAGUGACCCA